GGAUGAACGCUAGCGGCAGGCCUAAUACAUGCAAGUCGAGCGGCAGUCGGAGUAGCAAUACUUUGAUGAGAGCGGCGCACGGGUGCGUAACGCGUAUGCAAUCUACCUUGUACAGGGGAAUAGCCCAGAGAAAUUUGGAUUAAUGCCCCAUAGUAUAUAACCUUCGCAUGUUGGUUAUAUUAAAGUUCCAACGGUACAAGAUGAGCAUGCGUCCCAUUAGUUAGUUGGUAAGGUAACGGCUUACCAAGACGAUGAUGGGUAGGGGUCCUGAGAGGGAGAUCCCCCACACUGGUACUGAGACACGGACCAGACUCCUACGGGAGGCAGCAGUAGGGAAUAUUGGGCAAUGGUCGGAAGACUGACCCAGCCAUGCCGCGUGCAGGAAGAAGGCCCUCUGGGUUGUAAACUGCUUUUAUACGGGAAGAAAAAAUACUACGUGUAGUAUACUGACGGUACCGUAAGAAUAAGGAUCGGCUAACUCCGUGCCAGCAGCCGCGGUAAUACGGAGGAUUCGAGCGUUGUCCGGAUUUAUUGGGUUUAAAGGGUGCGUAGGCGGCUGAUUAAGUCAGCGGUGAAAGACUCCGGCUUAACCGGGGCAGUGCCGUUGAUACUGAUUGGCUUGAGUGUCGGAGGGGUACAUGGAAUUGAUGGUGUAGCGGUGAAAUGCAUAGAUACCAUCAGGAACACCGAUAGCGAAGGCAUUGUACUGGCCGACAACUGACGCUGAGGCACGAAAGUGUGGGGAUCGAACAGGAUUAGAUACCCUGGUAGUCCACACUGUAAACGAUGAUUACUCGCUGUUAUGGAGUAUUCUGUAGCGGCCAAGCGAAAGCGUUAAGUAAUCCACCUGGGGAGUACGCCGGCAACGGUGAAACUCAAAGGAAUUGACGGGGGUCCGCACAAGCGGUGGAGCACGUGGUUUAAUUCGAUGAUACGCGAGGAACCUUACCUGGGCUAGAAUGCUGGGAGACCGUGGGUGAAAGCUCACUUUGUAGCAAU
rnacentral:rRNA from 1 species